GACGAACGCUGGCGGCGUGCUUAACACAUGCAAGUCGAACGGAAAGGCCCUGCUUUUGUGGGGUGCUCGAGUGGCGAACGGGUGAGUAACACGUGAGUAACCUGCCCUUGACUUUGGGAUAACUUCAGGAAACUGGGGCUAAUACCGGAUAGGAGCUCCUGCUGCAUGGUGGGGGUUGGAAAGUUUCGGCGGUUGGGGAUGGACUCGCGGCUUAUCAGCUUGUUGGUGGGGUAGUGGCUUACCAAGGCUUUGACGGGUAGCCGGCCUGAGAGGGUGACCGGCCACAUUGUGACUGAGAUACGGCCCAGACUCCUACGGGAGGCAGCAGUGGGGAAUAUUGCACAAUGGGCGGAGGCCUGAUGCAGCAACGCCGCGUGCGGGAUGACGGCCUUCGGGUUGUAAACCGCUUUCGCCUGUGACGAAGCGUGAGUGACGGUAAUGGGUAAAGAAGCACCGGCUAACUACGUG
rnacentral:rRNA from 1 species